UGGCGGCAGGCCUAACACAUGCAAGUCGAGCGGAACGAGUUAUCUGAACCUUCGGGGAACGAUAACGGCGUCGAGCGGCGGACGGGUGAGUAAUGCCUAGGAAAUUGCCCUGAUGUGGGGGAUAACCAUUGGAAACGAUGGCUAAUACCGCAUGAUGCCUACGGGCCAAAGAGGGGGACCUUCGGGCCUCUCGCGUCAGGAUAUGCCUAGGUGGGAUUAGCUAGUUGGUGAGGUAAGGGCUCACCAAGGCGACGAUCCCUAGCUGGUCUGAGAGGAUGAUCAGCCACACUGGAACUGAGACACGGUCCAGACUCCUACGGGAGGCAGCAGUGGGGAAUAUUGCACAAUGGGCGCAAGCCUGAUGCAGCCAUGCCGCGUGUGUGAAGAAGGCCUUCGGGUUGUAAAGCACUUUCAGUCGUGAGGAAGGUAGUGUAGUUAAUAGCUGCAUUAUUUGACGUUAGCGACAGAAGAAGCACCGGCUAACUCCGUGCCAGCAGCCGCGGUAAUACGGAGGGUGCGAGCGUUAAUCGGAAUUACUGGGCGUAAAGCGCAUGCAGGUGGUUUGUUAAGUCAGAUGUGAAAGCCCGGGGCUCAACCUCGGAAUAGCAUUUGAAACUGGCAGACUAGAGUACUGUAGAGGGGGGUAGAAUUUCAGGUGUAGCGGUGAAAUGCGUAGAGAUCUGAAGGAAUACCGGUGGCGAAGGCGGCCCCCUGGACAGAUACUGACACUCAGAUGCGAAAGCGUGGGGAGCAAACAGGAUUAGAUACCCUGGUAGUCCACGCCGUAAACGAUGUCUACUUGGAGGUUGUGGCCUUGAGCCGUGGCUUUCGGAGCUAACGCGUUAAGUAGACCGCCUGGGGAGUACGGUCGCAAGAUUAAAACUCAAAUGAAUUGACGGGGGCCCGCACAAGCGGUGGAGCAUGUGGUUUAAUUCGAUGCAACGCGAAGAA
rnacentral:rRNA from 1 species